rnacentral:lncRNA from 1 species
UUUCCAAAAAAAAAAUAGAGUUAUACUCUCCAAAAUCCCUAAAAAAUUUAUAGAUACACAAAUUUGAUAGCCAUUGCUUAUUACACAUGCAAAGCUACACACAAACCAAAACCAAAGCUACGUACAAAGUAAGCAAUUUUGUUAGACAAUACUACAUACAAACACAAAGGAAACGUGUUUCCUUCCUCAAAAUCAAGCUGUCAAUCGAACCAUCCAAAACCCCCCUGAGAAUUGGUUUUGCUGCUGCCUGAUUCCUCCAUCGAUUGCUGCCAGAAACUACUCAUCGGAGGUGUUGUUUCCUCCCAAUGAGCAAGGAGGCAGUAGCCUCGUGAUUUUUGCUUUCACCUGUUCCCGUCGAUCACCACAGAGGCAACCCUUCUCACCUUUGGUGGUUGUCUUUCCCCCUAUCAAACAUCAAAACCCAAACAUCCAUUUUGUUCCUCCUUUGAUUUCUGUCAAAACAAACAAAAAGGAAAAAACAAAGGAAAAGAAAACGGAAGCAACACCCCAUCCACUCACCUGAUUUCGUGUUUCCUUCUUCUCAGAUCAACAGGAGACCGAAGUCCUUCCCCCUUUCCUCGUUUCUGUUGCUGUUUUCAAUCAAUUGUCUUCUGAAUCAGUCGAAACGGAUGCUCUAUUGUGAGAUUCCUGUACGUGUUCCCUUCAUAUUCUCGAUCUGAUGUGGAUGAAGAACCCCAAUCGAACCUUGCCCUCAUUUUUUUCUCCUAUUUUGAACCAAUACCGGAGGUGUGUAUCGUUUAUUCGAGUUCCCUUCGCCUGCAGUCUCUCGUUCCUCCCUCUCGAGGUCAAGAUCAGUCGAUCGUCUAAUUCUCCAGGGCUUCAACACUGAUAACGGGUUUUGAUUUUGACCAAGUCAAAAGUCAAAGAGAAUUCAAACAUGAAUUUAAAUUAAUCAAAAUCGACCCUCAUUUAACAAUACGUUAGAAAAUCAGUCCCAACCCAAAACCUUGACUCCAUUUAUUCAAAAUAGCCCCUCCCAUACAGAUUUCUUAACAAUACCAAUCCAAGACUCAAAACCAAAUAGGUCAUACUUUGGUUAAUCAAACUACCAAACAACCCCCACUAGUUUAAAUUCGUUACGAAACGGUCCCGAGAGUAUUUUAAAGUUCAAGAAUCGUUGCAGAAAACCUGUAACCCUCACAAACCUUGUGCUGGCCCUCAAAACUACAUGUGAUCUCAGAAAUCACUAAAUAAACAUUCAAGACAGAUUGGAUUAUAGGUGACCUAGUCUAUUUGCUGUUGUAUUAUAUGUUUAUCUGUUAAGGCAAUUCAUGUAUUAUUAUUAUUUGUAAAAAAAUUGUAUUCAAAUAUCAUGAUGGAAC